UACAUGGGGUGCAAACGUUGCUCGGAAUCAUUGGGCGUAAAGCGCACGUAGGCGGUUCGUUAUGUCGGAUGUGAAAGCCCUCGGCUUAACCGGGGAAGUGCAUCCGAAACUGGCGAGCUUGAGUACUAAAGAGGGUCGCGGAAUUCCCGGUGUAGAGGUGAAAUGCGUAGAGAUCGGGAGGAACACCCGUGGCGAAGGCGGCUCACUGGGCUGACCUUGACGCUGAGGCGCGAAGGCGUGGGGAGCGAACGGG
rnacentral:rRNA from 1 species